CCUCUGGAAUGCUCACACUUACAAAAAGAGCGCUCUGCAGAAAAUCAGCUUGAUUCAGAGGAAGUGACUGCGCGACGAGCAUCUUUGGCUGUUGCAGCAUGACUUUCACGAGACACCAUUGGACCACAAAAGAAGACCUUUCAUGUCGCAGCACUCGGUGAGAGCGCGGCUAGUGAAUAGAGCGACCACGUAACCCAAGCGCCUCUCCUCUCUUCAUGUCUUCCCGCUUUCCUCCUGGAUUGGUUUACCUAUUGUAUCUCAGCCAGAUAAUAUUGUUUGUCGCCGAGCCGCUGGGUAACACAAGCCCGCCGGGGCAGAGAGGAGAGGAGAAAGGCUCCUGAGGAGAUGAAUGGAGACCCAGAGAGAGAGGAGGAGGAGGAGGAGGGAGAGAGAUGGGCCAAGGAGUCCCAGAAAACAGGCCCUCAGUCUGGGUCAGCAGACGGGAACCCCACACACCUGGGACAGAGAGCCACAAAACAGCCCUCUGCCUGCUCUCUCUGCCUGGACGCUUUGUUUAAUAGCUUCCUUUUUUGUUCCAUGUCAAAUGGGUUUGUAACGACAUACAACAUACAAUGUAUGAAGUGAAGACACAGCGGUCUCGGAGGGGAUGCGUGGAUAAAGAAAGCAUGACUUGUUGGAAUCUGGUUGGAGGGUGGUUGGGGUCAACAACGUCACUGCCAGCUAAACUUAAAAUAUUCUCGGUACACAAAACCACACACAUUCCAAACCACACAAUGUUCCUGCUGUCCUCG